ACAAGAUCAAGACGCAAACCAUAAACUGUUUACUAAAAACAUACAAAAGCACAAAUAAACACAAGUAAAGCAUAAAUAUGAUGAAGAAUUAAGUACUGAUAAUAAUCUCCUCGCUAUGUCUGAACGGUCCCCCAGGUUACCCUAUUCGCUCUGAGUAGUCACAUUGCGUGCUUCUAAGCAAAAAUUCGUUGACUUCGAGGAAUCGCUUAUUGUUGACGUAUAAUCAAC